GUGGGGAAUUUUGGACAAUGGGCGAAAGCCUGAUCCAGCCAUGCCGCGUGCAGGAUGAAGGCCUUCGGGUUGUAAACUGCUUUUGUACGGAACGAAAAGACUCCUUCUAAUAAAGGGGGUCCAUGACGGUACCGUAAGAAUAAGCACCGGCUAACUACGUGCCAGCAGCCGCGGUAAUACGUAGGGUGCAAGCGUUAAUCGGAAUUACUGGGCGUAAAGCGUGCGCAGGCGGUUAUAUAAGACAGAUGUGAAAUCCCCGGGCUCAACCUGGGAACUGCAUUUGUGACUGUAUAGCUAGAGUACGGUAGAGGGGGAUGGAAUUCCGCGUGUAGCAGUGAAAUGCGUAGAUAUGUGGAGGAACACCGAUGGCGAAGGCAAUCCCCUGGACCUGUACUGACGCUCAUGCACGAAAGCGUGGGGAGCAAACAGGAUUAGAUACCCCUGUAGUCC
rnacentral:rRNA from 1 species